AACUAUGUAUACCAAAUUUACAUGUACAUUUAUUCUCUAGACAUAUCUUUCUAGUUUCUACAAGAAAUAGUAAGUUAGCCUAAGAAUACUGCACCAUGACCAAAUCUUCUGGGAACCAUUUUUAUUUCAAACUAUCAAGUUACUUUCCUCCUGCAUUCAUGAACACAAAUAUUACCUAGCAUGCUUGUCACCGGCACACGCAUGGCUUGCGGCCACAACGUACCCCUACAGGGGACACGCAUCACAACUAACCGAACACAACAGGAAAAAUCAUGCAAUGAACAGGGGAAUCUAAUGGAGAAUCAGCGAAUAUGAUACCCCAAGAUCUUACCUGACAUAUUAAAGGCCACUACCAAACAAGCAACAUCCAAGCCAACAUGGAAACCAUCAUCCUCAACGCUCCUUUAUUCCGCACGACAGAUUUUGAUACAUCGCUAGGUGUCUAUGCAAACAAAACAACACCAAGAUCA
rnacentral:lncRNA from 1 species